rnacentral:tRNA from 1 species
UGCUGUGUGGCUCAGUGGUAGAGCACUUGCCCAGCACACAUGAGGCCCUGUGUUUGAUCCCCAGCACUGCAU